rnacentral:rRNA from 1 species
UAAUAGUGUAUAUUAAAGUUGUUGCAGUUAAAAAGCUCGUAGUUGGAUGUUGGUGUCGAACGAGCGGUCAGCUUCGGCUGUACUGCUCUCUCGACUCCUUCCUUCUGUGGACUACGUCGCACUUUACUGUGUGGCGCUAGGACGCAGAUCGUUUACUGUGAAAAAAUUAGAGUGUUCAAAGCAGGCCGUACGCUUGAAUACAUUAGCAUGGAAUAAUGGAAUAGGACGUCGGGCCUAUUUUGUUGGUUCUAGGACCGUCGUAAUGAUUAAUAGGGACAGUUGGGGCCGUUUAUAUUCCGUAGUCAGAGGUGAAAUUCUUGGAUUUACGGAAGAUAAACUACUGCGAAAGCAUUCGGCAAGGAUGUUUUCGUUAA